GGAGGAUCCGAGCGUUAUCCGGAUUUAUUGGGUUUAAAGGGAGCGUAGGCGGACUAUUAAGUCAGCUGUGAAAGUUUGCGGCUCAACCGUAAAAUUGCAGUUGAUACUGGUCGUCUUGAGUGCAGUAGAGGUAGGCGGAAUUCGUGGUGUAGCGGUGAAAUGCUUAGAUAUCACGAAGAACUCCGAUUGCGAAGGCAGCUUACUGGACUGUAACUGACGCUGAUGCUCGAAAGUGUGGGUAUCAAACAGGAUUAGAUACCCUGGUAGUCCACACAGUAAACGAUGAAUACUCGCUGUUUGCGAUAUACAGCAAGCGGCCAAGCGAAAGCAUUAAGUAUUCCACCUGGGGAGUACGCCGGCAACGGUG
rnacentral:rRNA from 1 species